rnacentral:rRNA from 1 species
UCAAGCGAAUAAGUGCAUGUGGUGGAUGCCUUGGCGAUCACAGGCGAUGAAGGACGUAGUAGCUUGCGAAAAGCUGCGGGGAGCUGGCAAACGAGCUUUGAUCCGCAGAUGUCCGAAUGGGGAAACCCGGCCCGUAUGGGUCAUCCCUUGCUGAAUACAUAGGCAAGGGAGGCGAACGCAGUGAACUGAAACAUCUAAGUAGCUGCAGGAAAAGAAAUCAACCGAGAUUCCCAAAGUAGUGGCGAGCGAAAUGGGAACAGCCUUGUACUCUUUAGCAGUAUUGUUAGCGGAACGGAAUGGAAAGUCCGGCCAUAGUGGGUGAUAGCCCCGUACGCGAAAACAGUAUUGUGGAACUAGGUGUACGACAAGUAGGGCGGGACACGUGAAAUCCUGUCUGAAGAUGGGGGGACCAUCCUCCAAGGCUAAAUACUCGUGAUCGACCGAUAGUGAACCAGUACCGUGAGGGAAAGGCGAAAAGAACCCCGGGAGGGGAGUGAAAUAGAUCCUGAAACCGCAUGCAUACAAACAGUCGGAGCCUGGAAACGGGUGACGGCGUACCUUUUGUAUAAUGGGUCAGCGACUUACAUUCAGUGGCAAGCUUAACCGAUUAGGGAAGGCGUAGCGAAAGCGAGUCCGAAUAGGGCGUUCAGUCGCUGGGUGUAGACCCGAAACCAAGUGAUCUAUCCAUGGCCAGGUUGAAGGUGCGGUAACACGUACUGGAGGACCGAACCCACUAACGUUGAAAAGUUAGGGGAUGAGCUGUGGAUAGGGGUGAAAGGCUAAACAAACUUGGAAAUAGCUGGUUCUCUCCGAAAACUAUUUAGGUAGUGCCUCGUGUCUCACCUUCGGGGGUAGAGCACUGUCAUGGUUGGGGGGUCUAUUGCUGAUUACCCCGCCAUAGCAAACUCCGAAUACCGAAGAGUGCAAUCACGGGAGACAGACAUCGGGUGCUAACNGAAACGAAGUGGGAAGGCUAAAACAGUCAGGAGGUUGGCUUAGAAGCAGCCACCCUUUAAAGAAAGCGUAAUAGCUCACUGAUCGAGUCGUCCUGCGCGGAAGAUGUAACGGGGCUAAGCCAGUCACCGAAGCUGCGGAUGCACGUAAGUGCAUGGUAGGAGAGCGUUCUGUAAGCCUGUGAAGGUGUCUUGUAAAGGAUGCUGGAGGUAUCAGAAGUGCGAAUGCUGACAUGAGUAGCGAUAAAGGGGGUGAAAGGCCCCCUCGCCGUAAGCCCAAGGUUUCCUACGCAACGUUCAUCGGCGUAGGGUGAGUCGGCCCCUAAGGCGAGGCAGAGAUGCGUAGCUGAUGGGAAGCAGGUUAAUAUUCCUGCACCGUCGUAUGAUGCGAUGGGGGGACGGAUCGCGGAAGGUUGUCCGGGUGUUGGAAGUCCCGGUCCCUACAUUGGAGAUGGCACUUAGGCAAAUCCGGGUGCGUGAUUCAAGGGUGUGGGGCGAGCGACGUUAGGUCGCGAAGCAAUUGGAAGUGGUUCCAAGAAAAGCCUCUAAGCUUCAGUCAUACGAGACCGUACCGCAAACCGACACAGGUGGGCGAGAUGAGUAUUCUAAGGCGCUUGAGAGAACUCGGGAGAAGGAACUCGGCAAAUUGGUACCGUAACUUCGGGAUAAGGUACGCCCUUGUAGUUUGACUGGCUCGCGCCAGAAGGAUGAAGGGGUUGCAAUAAAAUGGUGGCUGCGACUGUUUAAUAAAAACACAGCACUCUGCAAACACGAAAGUGGACGUAUAGGGUGUGACGCCUGCCCGGUGCCGGAAGAUUAAAUGAUGGGGUGCAAGCUCUUGAUUGAAGUCCCGGUAAACGGCGGCCGUAACUAUAACGGUCCUAAGGUAGCGAAAUUCCUUGUCGGGUAAGUUCCGACCUGCACGAAUGGCGUAACGAUGGCCACACUGUCUCCUCCCGAGACUCAGCGAAGUUGAAGUGUUUGUGAUGAUGCAAUCUCCCCGCGGCUAGACGGAAAGACCCCAUGAACCUUUACUGUAGCUUUGCAUUGGACUUUGAACCGAUCUGUGUAGGAUAGGUGGGAGGCUUUGAAACCGGGACGCUAGUUUCGGUGGAGCCGACCUUGAAAUACCACCCUGGUUUGUUUGAGGUUCUAACCUUGGCCCGUGAAUCCGGGUCGGGGACAGUGCAUGGUAGGCAGUUUGACUGGGGCGGUCUCCUCCCAAAGUGUAACGGAGGAGUUCGAAGGUACGCUUGGUACGGUCGGACAUCGUACCUAAAGUGCAAUGGCAAAAGCGUGCUUAACUGCGAGACCGACAAGUCGAGCAGGUGCGAAAGCAGGACAUAGUGAUCCGGUGGUUCUGUAUGGAAGGGCCAUCGCUCAACGGAUAAAAGGUACUCUGGGGAUAACAGGCUGAUACCGCCCAAGAGUUCAUAUCGACGGCGGUGUUUGGCACCUCGAUGUCGGCUCAUCUCAUCCUGGGGCUGUAGCCGGUCCCAAGGGUAUGGCUGUUCGCCAUUUAAAGAGGUACGUGAGCUGGGUUUAAAACGUCGUGAGACAGUUUGGUCCCUAUCUGCCGUGGGCGUUGGAAUCUUGACGGGGGCUGCUCCUAGUACGAGAGGACCGGAGUGGACGUACCGCUGGUGUACCUGUUGUCUCGCCAGAGGCAUCGCAGGGUAGCUAUGUACGGAAGAGAUAACCGCUGAAAGCAUCUAAGCGGGAAACUCGCCUGAAGAUGAGGAUUCCCUGGAGACUUGAUCUCCCUGAAGGGUCGUUCGAGACCAGGACGUUGAUAGGCUGGGUGUGGAAGCGCAGUAAUGCGUUCAGCUAACCAGUACUAAUUGCCCGUGCGGCUUGAU